rnacentral:rRNA from 1 species
UACGGAGGAUCCAAGCGUUAUCCGGAAUCAUUGGGUUUAAAGGGUCCGUAGGCGGAUUAGUAAGUCAGCGGUGAAAGUUUGCAGCUUAACUGUAAAAUUGCCAUUGAUACUGCUAGUCUUGAAUGUUUGUGAAGUAGCUAGAAUAUGUAGUGUAGCGGUGAAAUGCUUAGAUAUUACAUGGAAUACCAAUUGCGAAGGCAGGUUACUAACAAAUGAUUGACGCUGAUGGACGAAAGCGUGGGUAGCGAACAGGAUUAGAUACCCUGGUAGUCCACGCCGUAAACGAUGGAUACUAGCUGUUUGGUCGUAAGACUGAGUGGCUAAGCGAAAGUGAUAAGUAUCCCACCUGGGGAGUACGUUCGCAAGAAUGAA